UACGUAGGAGGCAAGCGUUAUCCGGAAUUAUUGGGCGUAAAGCGUCCGCAGGUGGCUAUUCAAGUCUGCGGUCAAAGACUGGGGCUUAACCCUGGAAAGGCCGUGGAAACUGAAGAGCUAGAGUGCAGUAGGGGUAGAGGGAAUUCCCGGUGUAGCGGUGAAAUGCGUAGAGCUCGGGAAGAACAUCGGUGGCGAAAGCGCUCUGCUGGACUGCAACUGACACUCAGGGACGAAAGCUAGGGGAGCGAAUGGG
rnacentral:rRNA from 1 species